rnacentral:tRNA from 1 species
ACUUAAAUAACUUAUAUUAGAGUAUAAUAUUGAAGAUAUUAGAGAGGUUAUUUUUAUCUUUAAGUA